rnacentral:piRNA from 1 species
UGUGACUGGGGAUUCUGUUUACAAGGUGU